AAUCGAGUAUUUGAAACCUGGAAUUCACUUAUUAUAAAGGGUUAUCAUUUGUGAGAUGGAGCCUUUUAUAAUAUGUGAAUUUUUAUUUGCUUCAAGAGUAAAAAGAACAUGUUAAAUUUAAUUUCUAGGAGGUACCACACAUGCAAACUGGUACAGUUAAAUGGUUCAACGCUGAAAAAGGCUUUGGUUUUAUCGAAGUUGAAGGCGGCAACGAUGUAUUCGUACACUUCUCCGCAAUCCAAGGCGAAGGCUUCAAGUCCCUGGACGAAGGCCAACGCGUUGAGUUCAACGUAGUUCAAGGCAACCGCGGACCGCAAGCUGAGAACGUUGUUAAGCUGUAAUUUCAGCUAAACGAGAGAAGCUGUUCACAACCUUAUGUUGUGGACAGCUUC
rnacentral:sRNA from 1 species